GACGAACGCUGGCGGCGUGCUUAAAAACAUGCAAGUCGAACGGACUUCUCAUGAAGCUUGCGAUUGAGAAGUUAGUGGCGGACGGGUGAGUAACGCGUGGGCAACCUGCCCCUGAGCCCGGGAUAACAGUUCGAAAGGACUGCUAAGACCGGAUAUACUUGCGGUGAAGCAUUUCACUGCAAGGAAAGGGAACGCUCAGGGAUGGGCCCGCGUCCCAUUAGCUAGUUGGUGAGGUAACGGCCCACCAAGGCGACGAUGGGUAGCCGGCCUGAGAGGGUGAACGGCCACACUGGGACUGAGACACGGCCCAGACUCCUACGGGAGGCAGCAGUUGGGAAUCUUCGGCAAUGGGCGCAAGCCUGACCGAGCAACGCCGCGUGAGUGAUGAAGGUUUUCGGAUUGUAAAGCUCUGUCUUCCGGGACGAUAAUGGACGGUACCGGAGGAGGAAGCCACGGCUAACUACGUG
rnacentral:rRNA from 1 species